rnacentral:ncRNA from 2 species
CUCUUAUCCAGAGCGGCGGAGGGACUGGCCCUACGAAGCCCGGCAACCUGCCCUAACAGGCGUGGUGCCAACACCUGCAACCGAAAGGUUGGGUGAUAAGAG